rnacentral:rRNA from 1 species
AGUUCUGCCAGGUGCCGCCUGUCCGCCCCAGUGGUGAGUACCCGGCGCGCAUUUGGCCCUUUCAAGGGGAGCGUAUCCGCACUUAACUGUGUGGUGCGGGAUCCUUGACUUUUACUUUGAGGAAAUAAGAGUGUUCCAAGCAGGCUCUCGUCGUGCAUAGCUCAGCAUGGAAUAAUAGCAUUGGAUCUCGAUUCCAAACUGUUGGUUGUAGGAAACGAGAUAAUGAUGAAGAGGGAUAGUUGGGGGCAUUCGUAUUUAACUGUCAGAGGUGAAAUUCUUGGAUUUGUUAAAGACGAACUACUGCGAAAGCAUCUGCCAUGGAUGUUUUCAUUGAUCAAGAACCAAAGUUAGCGGGAUCGAAGACGAUCAGAUACCGUCCUAGUCUUAACCUAUAAACC